GAUGAACGCUGGCGGCGUGCCUAAUACAUGCAAGUCGAGCGAACAGACGAGGAGCUUGCUCCUCUGACGUUAGCGGCGGACGGGUGAGUAACACGUGGAUAACCUACCUAUAAGACUGGGAUAACUUCGGGAAACCGGAGCUAAUACCGGAUAAUAUAUUGAACCGCAUGGUUCAAUAGUGAAAGACGGUUUUGCUGUCACUUAUAGAUGGAUCCGCGCCGCAUUAGCUAGUUGGUAAGGUAACGGCUUACCAAGGCAACGAUGCGUAGCCGACCUGAGAGGGUGAUCGGCCACACUGGAACUGAGACACGGUCCAGACUCCUACGGGAGGCAGCAGUAGGGAAUCUUCCGCAAUGGGCGAAAGCCUGACGGAGCACCGCCGCGUGAGUGAUGAAGGUCUUCGGAUCGUAAAACUCUGUUAUUAGGGAAGAACAAAUGUGUAAGUAACUAUGCACGUCUUGACGGUACCUAAUCAGAAAGCCCCGGCUAACUACGUG
rnacentral:rRNA from 1 species